rnacentral:miRNA from 10 species
UCUUGUUGCCUUGUCCUUCUUG